CUAAGAACAUAGCUGAACUUUUGGCCUUAUCCUUAAUACAGGAUAGGGCAUUCUUUCAACCAGAUGGGGAUAUUUGUACAGCAGCCACUUGGACUUCUUUGUAGAUCUUUGCACACUUUCACAGACUUCCUCAGAAUUCUCCUUUGAUAGAAACAUUCUAACUGGUUCAUAAAUAAAUGAAAUUUUUUGCAGUAAAUCAUGUUUCCCAGCCUUUUUUUUUAGCUUGGAUAUUGCCCAAUGGUAAUGAUGCCAUGGUUACCCAGGAAAAUAGAUUUUUUUUCUACUGAUCAUAAUUUUCUUUUCCUGACUAUUUUCCAUGGCAACAUCACUCUCCCUUCCAUCUGGGGAUUUUUAGCUUUUUAAUAGUCCGGGGAACGCUACGAGUAGAGGGUAACUUAUA